AACUGGCGCUGCUUACCAUGCAAGUCGAACGGUGAACACGGAGCUUGCUCUGUGGGAUCAGUGGCGAACGGGUGAGUAACACGUGAGCAACCUGCCCCUGACUCUGGGAUAAGCGCUGGAAACGGCGUCUAAUACUGGAUAUGUGACGUGACCGCAUGGUCUGCGUCUGGAAAGAAUUUCGGUUGGGGAUGGGCUCGCGGCCUAUCAGCUUGUUGGUGAGGUAAUGGCUCACCAAGGCGUCGACGGGUAGCCGGCCUGAGAGGGUGACCGGCCACACUGGGACUGAGACACGGCCCAGACUCCUACGGGAGGCAGCAGUGGGGAAUAUUGCACAAUGGGCGCAAGCCUGAUGCAGCAACGCCGCGUGAGGGACGACGGCCUUCGGGUUGUAAACCUCUUUUAGCAGGGAAGAAGCGAAAGUGACGGUACCUGCAGAAAAAGCGCCGGCUAACUACGUGCCAGCAGCCGCGGUAAUACGUAGGGCGCAAGCGUUAUCCGGAAUUAUUGGGCGUAAAGAGCUCGUAGGCGGUUUGUCGCGUCUGCUGUGAAAUCCGGAGGCUCAACCUCCGGCCUGCAGUGGGUACGGGCAGACUAGAGUGCGGUAGGGGAGAUUGGAAUUCCUGGUGUAGCGGUGGAAUGCGCAGAUAUCAGGAGGAACACCGAUGGCGAAGGCAGAUCUCUGGGCCGUAACUGACGCUGAGGAGCGAAAGGGUGGGGAGCAAACAGGCUUAGAUACCCUGGUAGUCCACCCCGUAAACGUUGGGAACUAGUUGUGGGGUCCAUUCCACGGAUUCCGUGACGCAGCUAACGCAUUAAGUUCCCCGCCUGGGGAGUACGGCCGCAAGGCUAAAACUCAAAGGAAUUGACGGGGACCCGCACAAGCGGCGGAGCAUGCGGAUUAAUUCGAUGCAACGCGAAGAACCUUACCAAGGCUUGACAUAUACGAGAA
rnacentral:rRNA from 1 species